UGGGGAAUAUUGCACAAUGGGCGAAAGCCUGAUGCAGCAACGCCGCGUGAGUGAUGAAGGUCUUCGGAUUGUAAAGCUCUGUCUUUUGGGACGAUAAUGACGGUACCAAAGGAGGAAGCCACGGCUAACUACGUGCCAGCAGCCGCGGUAAUACGUAGGUGGCGAGCGUUGUCCGGAUUUACUGGGCGUAAAGGGUGCGUAGGCGGAUGUUUAAGUGAGAUGUGAAAUACCCGGGCUUAACUUGGGUGCUGCAUUUCAAACUGGAUAUCUAGAGUGCAGGAGAGGAGAAUGGAAUUCCUAGUGUAGCGGUGAAAUGCGUAGAGAUUAGGAAGAACACCAGUGGCGAAGGCGAUUCUCUGGACUGUAACUGACGCUGAGGCACGAAAGCGUGGGUAGCAAACAGGAUUAGAUACCCUGGUAGUCCACGCCGUAAACGAUGAGUACUAGGUGUAGGGGGUAUCGACCCCUUCUGUGCCGCAGUAAACACAUUAAGUACUCCGCCUGGGAAGUACGAUCGCAAGAUUAAAAC
rnacentral:rRNA from 1 species